AAUAGAUACCCGGGUAGUCCACGCCGUAAACGAUGAGUGCUAAGUGUUAGAGGGUUUCCGCCCUUUAGUGCUGCAGCUAACGCAUUAAGCACUCCGCCUGGGGAGUACGGCCGCAAGGCUGAAACUCAAAGGAAUUGACGGGGGCCCGCACAAGCGGUGGAGCAUGUGGUUUAAUUCGAAGCAACGCGAAGAACCUUACCAGGUCUUGACAUCCUCUGCCAACCCUAGAGAUAGGGCGUUCCCCUUCGGGGGACAGAGUGACAGGUGGUGCAUGGUUGUCGUCAGCUCGUGUCGUGAGAUGUUGGGUUAAGUCCCGCAACGAGCGCAACCCUUGAUCUUAGUUGCCAGCAUUCAGUUGGGCACUCUAAGGUGACUGCCGGUGACAAACCGGAGGAAGGUGGGGAUGACGUCAAAUCAUCAUGCCCCUUAUGACCUGGGCUACACACGUGCUACAAUGGAUGGUACAAAGAGCUGCGAACCCGCGAGGGUUAGGCGAAUCUCAUAAAGCCAUUCUCAGUUCGGA
rnacentral:rRNA from 1 species